UACGUAGGGGGCAAGCGUUGUCCGGAUUUAUUGGGCGUAAAGAGCGUGUAGGCGGCCUGAAAGGUCAGCUGUGAAAACUCGAGGCUCAACCUCGAGACGUCGGUUGAAACCAUCUGGCUAGAGUCCGGAAGAGGAGAGUGGAAUUCCCGGUGUAGCGGUGAAAUGCGCAGAUAUCGGGAAGAACACCCGUGGCGAAGGCGGCUCUCUGGGACGGUACUGACGCUGAGACGCGAAAGCUAGGGGAGCAAACAGG
rnacentral:rRNA from 1 species